rnacentral:rRNA from 1 species
UACGGGGGGGGCAAGCGUUUGUUCGGAAUUACUGGGCGUAAAGGGCUCGUAGGUGGCCAACUAAGUCAUACGUGAAAUCCCUCAGCUUAACUGGGGAACUGCGCCUGAUACUGGUUGGCUUGAGUUUGGGAGAGGGACGCGGAAUUCCAGGUGUAGCGGUGAAAUGCGUAGAGAUCGGAAAGAACACCAACGGCGAAAGCACUCUGCUGGGCCGACACUGACACUGAGAGACGAAAGCUAGGGGAGCGAAUGGG